UUUUUUUUUUUUUACCAGUCUUGGAUGCACAGCCAGCUUCUCAAGUUGUUGGUUUCUGGAGCCUCUGUGUGGAGGGCCUAGAUGUUGUGGCUUCUGGGAAGCCCCAGGGAUGGCUUACUGGAGAUUAUUAUUACACUGCUAAUCUGAAGGCAAACAGCCUGGAAAAGUGGGAGGAGACUGGUUAGCAGGGCACGUUUCCAGGGACCCACUUUAAGACAAGGACUUGAACUGAGAGAUGACAAGCCCAAGGACAGAGCUUAAACCCUGUUUGCAGUUUGCAUCCCCUCUUAUCUGCUGGGUUGCUGAGGCGGGGAAAGGUCCAGCUAUCUAGGUCUGGACCCUUAGCUCCACCUAACCUUUUCCCGUCUAAAGGAUUGGGAGGCUACCACCUUCUGCUAAUCUCUCCGUCUGUCCGUCGCAGAACUUGGAUGCAUUCAGAAUCCCGUUUCCAGGCAAAGGUGCGGGGUCAUAAACAUAAUAAAGAUAAGCGUUCCCAACAGAGAGGAAGAGCCCUGUGGUUUCAGCUGCCAGCCUGUGGCAAGUAACAUCUGCUGAGCUCAUCCUCUGGGCCCAGAGAGGAAGGAAUGCUGGUGCGCAGGCAGGCAGGCAGGCAGCAAUGGUGAGGCUUGGUGGCCCCGGCUGGGUGCCAUAGCUACCCUGGGCUCAGAUGCUAACAUUGCUGUUCUUGGUGACCAGAUCUGCAGCCUGAGGGUUGCAAGCCUUGCCUCAGCACAUGACCUUGGGAAGGACCAAGUUCUGGGCCUCUCUGUCUUCAAAGCUAUUGGAGUUGGUUUAUGUGUGACAUUGACCAUUGUUUUCCUGUGCUAGCUUGUCACCCAAACCUGGGAAUACAAGCUGGGAAUCUAGAUGCCCUGAAACUUAGUCUAGUGUGGAUCAGGGGGUCUGCAUCUCUCUUACCCCCCUUAGAAAGUGAUGCAGAAAGCCUGUCCCUUCUUUGUCCCAUGAAGCUACAGAGAGUCUCCCCUCCAGCCCAGGCCUUUGCCAUGGUUCCCUGCCCCUCACCCCGUCUCUGUGUAUGUGUGUGUGUGUGUGUCUGUCUCUCUCCUUUUCUGCCCUCCAGGACUGCUUGAGGAGCAAUCUGGGACUCGAGAUGAGCCAGUCACAGAUAACCUCUCUCAUUCGAGGAGAAGAACUCGGGGUCAUAUAUCAAGUUGACCCCGAUUUCUUCUUUUCCGGUUGCUAACAAUCUCACGGGGUGGAGGAGUCUGGGACAAUGGCCUGCGGCCGGGAAGCUGCAUUCCCGUUGGCAGGCCUUUGUUGCAAGCAGGAGGGGCCUCUAACUAAUGAAAAGGCUUGAGGGUCGGAUGUCUAUGGGGCGGCAGCUAAAGAGUCUUUUCAAGUUUGACAUUCCAGGCCCGGCUGGCCUCUGGCGUUUCCCAGAAAACUCAGAGGAAGGGAAGAAAAAGAAAACACUUCACCAACCCACCGCCCACUCGCUCAAAUCCUCACGUCUCAGAUUCCUGGUGCCCUCCAGGGACUGGGUUGGCCUGAGAGCCAGGACCCCUGCCCUGGGGGCCAUUCCUCUGCCCACAGAAGCCUCGAAGGGGUGGCAGUGGGGUGGGGGUGGGUAAUGGGUUAUGUGUGGGUGGGUGCUGGAGGAGGGGUCAGAGAGAAAUGUAAUGGGUCGCCUCUGAGAGAAGAGUUUCUUCCUGCUCAUUGAAGUUCACAAAUUCUGAGUUGGUGGUAGAGGGUGUGGAAAGUCAGCUUCCAGCGUUUGUCCAGCCAUCCCACCCUCCAAACAGUACACCCCACUCUGUCCAGGGCUGCCUGCGGUGGGAAGCACCCACAAGGCCAAGCUGGCGCUGGGUCGGGGAACAGACAGCAGGGCAGCUGGGCAGUUCUGGGAAGCCAGGCUGCGGUGAGCCAUCUGGGUUGCAAUGCAAAUGAGGCCUGGCCACUUGCCGAGAGCAGAAGUGGCUGUACCCAAGGAGGAGAGCCCAGCCCGGGAGGAAGCACCUCCUGAGAGGCCAGGGAUGGAGGAGGGCCAGGUGACGGCUGCUUUUCUGCUCUGUGCACUAGAAGGUUGGGGCCCUGGGCUCUAGGGACUGGUGUUCCUCACCUGAAUGCACCUGCAGCAUCUGUCUCCCCCUCCCCUUCUGUAGGUGAGUAUCAGGUUUCCUCAGGAGUCCCUGUGCUCUAAGAAGGUAUUAGUAUGCAGUUAGUCUCCCACUGAAAACUCAAGGCAAGUUCAAAGUAGACCCGUCUGCCUCCCGCAGCCUCAAGCUCCUCAGGGGGUGAGUGGGUCAGGAGUGAGGGUGGGGCUCUCCCCCAAGGACCCAAGGGAGGGAGCGAGAGAGAUCUUGACGUAGCUUCCCCACCCUGCCUCAUUUGGGUGUUGCUUUGGAGUUUUAGUAUAUUGUUUAUUUGUAUCUAUGCACAAGUGUCUAUUUGGCAUCUGCAUAGAACUGUAGCACCUCCAGGAGUCUAGAAGAGGGCCCUGGGUCUCUGGAAUUGGAGUUUGUGUGUGAGGUGCCUAACUUUGGCGUGGGGAACUGAACUCAGGUCCUCUGGAAAAGCAAUAUGAACUUAAAGCCCCUGAAUCAUCUUUCUAGUCCCCACGAGUAUUUUCAAAUUUUAAAACAAUUUUCCAGGCUCAGAGGUCUGCCUGUCUCUCUCUGGUCUGCAUGCUGGGAUUAAAGGCGUGGCCACCACCAUGCCUGGUUUACAGUCGCUUCUUGCUACUUAUUUCACACUACUU
rnacentral:lncRNA from 1 species